GGCAAUCGAGCAUUUGGAGCUUAUAUUGUUCCGAGACCACGAUCUUCUGAACUUGUAGAAGAUGUUGAUCUUUUGAUCAGAAGGGCUGAGAGAUGCCUAGAAGCUGGGGCAGACAUGAUUAUGAUUGAUGCAGAUGAUGUCAGUAAACAUGCCGAUUCUCUUCGAGCAGAUAUUAUUGCCAAGAUCAUUGGGCGUCUUGGUCUAGAGAAAACGAUGUUUGAAGCAUCGAAUCCCAGAACAUCAGAGUGGUUUAUCAAUCAUUACGGUCCAAAGGUGAAUCUUUUUGUGGAUCACUCUCAAGUUAUGGAUCUGGAGUGCCUCCGGGGUCGCAACCUCGGUAAAAAUCAUUCAUCUAUUCUUGGUUCCUCCUACUUUCGGAUGUAAAGUCAAUGUGUCAACUCGAGAG
rnacentral:misc_RNA from 1 species